UACGUAGGUGACAAGCGUUGUCCGGAUUUACUGGGCGUAAAGAGCGCGCAGGCGGUCGUUCAAGUCGAGUGUGAAAGCCCCCGGCUCAACUGGGGAGGGUCAUUCGAUACUGAUCGACUCGAAGGCAGGAGAGGGUAGUGGAAUUCCCGGUGUAGUGGUGAAAUGCGUAGAUAUCGGGAGGAACACCAGUGGCGAAGACGACUACCUGGCCUGUUCUUGACGCUGAGGCGCGAAAGCUAGGGGAGCAAACGGG
rnacentral:rRNA from 1 species